rnacentral:rRNA from 1 species
CCUACGGGAGGCAGCAGUGGGGAAUAUUGGACAAUGGGCGCAAGCCUGAUCCAGCAAUGCCGCGUGAGUGAUGAAGGCCUUAGGGUCGUAAAGCUCUUUUACCAGGGAUGAUAAUGACAGUACCUGGAGAAUAAGCUCCGGCUAACUCCGUGCCAGCAGCCGCGGUAAUACGGAGGGAGCUAGCGUUGUUCGGAAUUACUGGGCGUAAAGCGUACGUAGGCGGUUAUUCAAGUCAGAGGUGAAAGCCCGGGGCUCAACCCCGGAACGGCCUUUGAAACUAGGUAGCUAGAAUCUUGGAGAGGUCAGUGGAAUUCCGAGUGUAGAGGUGAAAUUCGUAGAUAUUCGGAAGAACACCAGUGGCGAAGGCGACUGACUGGACAAGUAUUGACGCUGAGGUACGAAAGCGUGGGGAGCAAACAGGAUUAGAUACCCUGGUAGUCCACGCCGUAAACGAUGAUAACUAGCUGUCCGGGCACUUGGUGCCUGGGUGGCGCAGCUACGACAUUAAGUUAUACCGUCCGUCGGGUAGGUACGGUCGCGAAGAAUUAAACUAACAAAGAAGUUAGUACGGCGUGAGACGUGCCGAACGGACGACGACGAGGGAGUAGG